rnacentral:rRNA from 1 species
CCUACGGGCGGCAGCAGUGAGGAAUAUUGGUCAAUGGGCGCGAGCCUGAACCAGCCAAGCCGCGUGAAGGAUGACUGCCCUACGGGUUGUAAACUUCUUUUAUAAAGGAAUAAAGUGGGGUACGUGUGCCUGUUUGUAUGUACUUUAUGAAUAAGGAUCGGCUAACUCCGUGCCAGCAGCCGCGGUAAUACGGAGGAUCCGAGCGUUAUCCGGAUUUAUUGGGUUUAAAGGGUGCGUAGGUGGGUUGUUAAGUCAGUUGUGAAAGUUUGGGGCUCAACCGGAAAAUGGCAAUUGAUACUGUCAGGCUUGAGUACAGGUGAGGUAGGCGGAAUGCGUGGUGUAGCGGUGAAAUGCAUAGAUAUCACGAAGAACUCCGAUUGCGAAGGCAGCUUACUAAACUGCCACUGACGUUGAUGCUCGAAAGUGUGGGUAUCAAACAGGAUUAGAUACCCGAGUAGUC